GGUUAAGCGACUAAGCGUACACGGUGGAUGCCCUGGCAGUCAGAGGCGAUGAAGGACGUGCUAAUCUGCGAUAAGCGUCGGUAAGGUGAUAUGAACCGUUAUAACCGGCGAUUUCCGAAUGGGGAAACCCAGUGUGUUUCGACACACUAUCAUUAACUGAAUCCAUAGGUUAAUGAGGCGAACCGGGGGAACUGAAACAUCUAAGUACCCCGAGGAAAAGAAAUCAACCGAGAUUCCCCCAGUAGCGGCGAGCGAACGGGGAGCAGCCCAGAGCCUGAAUCAGUGUGUGUGUUAGUGGAAGCGUCUGGAAAGGCGCGCGAUACAGGGUGACAGCCCCGUACACAAAAAUGCACAUGCUGUGAGCUCGAUGAGUAGGGCGGGACACGUGGUAUCCUGUCUGAAUAUGGGGGGACCAUCCUCCAAGGCUAAAUACUCCUGACUGACCGAUAGUGAACCAGUACCGUGAGGGAAAGGCGAAAAGAACCCCGGCGAGGGGAGUGAAAAAGAACCUGAAACCGUGUACGUACAAGCAGUGGGAGCACGCUUAGGCGUGUGACUGCGUACCUUUGUAUAAUGGGUCAGCGACUUAUAUUCUGUAGCAAGGUUAACCGAAUAGGGGAGCCGAAGGGAAACCGAGUCUUAACUGGGCGUUAAGUUGCAGGGUAUAGACCCGAAACCCGGUGAUCUAGCCAUGGGCAGGUUGAAGGUUGGGUAACACUAACUGGAGGACCGAACCGACUAAUGUUGAAAAAUUAGCGGAUGACUUGUGGCUGGGGGUGAAAGGCCAAUCAAACCGGGAGAUAGCUGGUUCUCCCCGAAAGCUAUUUAGGUAGCGCCUCGUGAAUUCAUCUCCGGGGGUAGAGCACUGUUUCGGCAAGGGGGUCAUCCCGACUUACCAACCCGAUGCAAACUGCGAAUACCGGAGAAUGUUAUCACGGGAGACACACGGCGGGUGCUAACGUCCGUCGUGAAGAGGGAAACAACCCAGACCGCCAGCUAAGGUCCCAAAGUCAUGGUUAAGUGGGAAACGAUGUGGGAAGGCCCAGACAGCCAGGAUGUUGGCUUAGAAGCAGCCAUCAUUUAAAGAAAGCGUAAUAGCUCACUGGUCGAGUCGGCCUGCGCGGAAGAUGUAACGGGGCUAAACCAUGCACCGAAGCUGCGGCAGCGACACUAUGUGUUGUUGGGUAGGGGAGCGUUCUGUAAGCCUGUGAAGGUGUACUGUGAGGUAUGCUGGAGGUAUCAGAAGUGCGAAUGCUGACAUAAGUAACGAUAAAGCGGGUGAAAAGCCCGCUCGCCGGAAGACCAAGGGUUCCUGUCCAACGUUAAUCGGGGCAGGGUGAGUCGACCCCUAAGGCGAGGCCGAAAGGCGUAGUCGAUGGGAAACAGGUUAAUAUUCCUGUACUUGGUGUUACUGCGAAGGGGGGACGGAGAAGGCUAUGUUGGCCGGGCGACGGUUGUCCCGGUUUAAGCGUGUAGGCUGGUUUUCCAGGCAAAUCCGGAAAAUCAAGGCUGAGGCGUGAUGACGAGGCACUACGGUGCUGAAGCAACAAAUGCCCUGCUUCCAGGAAAAGCCUCUAAGCAUCAGGUAACAUCAAAUCGUACCCCAAACCGACACAGGUGGUCAGGUAGAGAAUACCAAGGCGCUUGAGAGAACUCGGGUGAAGGAACUAGGCAAAAUGGUGCCGUAACUUCGGGAGAAGGCACGCUGAUAUGUAGGUGAAGUCCCUCGCGGAUGGAGCUGAAAUCAGUCGAAGAUACCAGCUGGCUGCAACUGUUUAUUAAAAACACAGCACUGUGCAAACACGAAAGUGGACGUAUACGGUGUGACGCCUGCCCGGUGCCGGAAGGUUAAUUGAUGGGGUCAGCGCAAGCGAAGCUCUUGAUCGAAGCCCCGGUAAACGGCGGCCGUAACUAUAACGGUCCUAAGGUAGCGAAAUUCCUUGUCGGGUAAGUUCCGACCUGCACGAAUGGCGUAAUGAUGGCCAGGCUGUCUCCACCCGAGACUCAGUGAAAUUGAACUCGCUGUGAAGAUGCAGUGUACCCGCGGCAAGACGGAAAGACCCGUGAACCUUUACUAUAGCUUGACACUGAACAUUGAGCCUUGAUGUGUAGGAUAGGUGGGAGGCUUUGAAGUGUGGACGCCAGUCUGCAUGGAGCCGACCUUGAAAUACCACCCUUUAAUGUUUGAUGUUCUAACGUUGACCCGUGAUCCGGGUUGCGGACAGUGUCUGGUGGGUAGUUUGACUGGGGCGGUCUCCUCCUAAAGAGUAACGGAGGAGCACGAAGGUUGGCUAAUCCUGGUCGGACAUCAGGAGGUUAGUGCAAUGGCAUAAGCCAGCUUGACUGCGAGCGUGACGGCGCGAGCAGGUGCGAAAGCAGGUCAUAGUGAUCCGGUGGUUCUGAAUGGAAGGGCCAUCGCUCAACGGAUAAAAGGUACUCCGGGGAUAACAGGCUGAUACCGCCCAAGAGUUCAUAUCGACGGCGGUGUUUGGCACCUCGAUGUCGGCUCAUCACAUCCUGGGGCUGAAGUAGGUCCCAAGGGUAUGGCUGUUCGCCAUUUAAAGUGGUACGCGAGCUGGGUUUAGAACGUCGUGAGACAGUUCGGUCCCUAUCUGCCGUGGGCGCUGGAGAACUGAGGGGGGCUGCUCCUAGUACGAGAGGACCGGAGUGGACGCAUCACUGGUGUUCGGGUUGUCAUGCCAAUGGCACUGCCCGGUAGCUAAAUGCGGAAGAGAUAAGUGCUGAAAGCAUCUAAGCACGAAACUUGCCCCGAGAUGAGUUCUCCCUGACCCUUUAAGGGUCCUGAAGGAACGUUGAAGACGACGACGUUGAUAGGCCGGGUGUGUAAGCGCAGCGAUGCGUUGAGCUAACCGGUACUAAUGAACCGUGAGGCUUAACCUU
rnacentral:rRNA from 1 species